rnacentral:misc_RNA from 1 species
GGUCAAAGGUAAAGCACGUUGUAAUACGCGCGCAGACGCGCGAUAGAGACAACAUAAUGGAUGCAGUGUGGAAAACCGUGAAUGAUUAUUUACCAAAGACUAAAGAAGAGUGGAACUGGUGGAUUAAGUUUCGUAAAGCUGAUGUCAUCCUCAGGAAGCAUGACAACUUCCUGUACUGUGAGAUUGCCUUCUAUGCCAUGGCCUUCCUUACGUUCAUUCAUGCUAUGCGACAUGGAGGUAGGUUUCGGUGGCUGUGGCUAGCAUCAGUUUUCCAUGGCCUGACGGUGGAGUGUGUCAGCUACUUCCUCCCCGACAUCGACAACUUCUGGCACGCACAAGCAACUGUGAUGCUGCUGGGGCAACGACUACCACUCCAUAUUCUGUUGCUGUACCCAGCGUUGUACUAUGUGGCAUCAGUAGCUGUCGGACAUAUGAAGCUGAGGGGAUGGGCCGAACCUUUUGCAGUUGGGCUCAGUGUUGUUAUCCUGGACGUUCCCUACGACAUCAUGGGCAUCAAGCUGUUGUGGUGGACGUGGCACGACGAUGACCCCAACAUCUACGACCGCCACUACUCGGUGCCGUGGACCAGCUACUACUUCCACGCAACUUUCGCUGCAGGCUUCACUUUGGUUUUCCAUGGACUCCGCAACUGUUUGUGUCAGAGAGCAAACAAAUUCCAGUCUGCUGGGUUCCUGUUGGAGCUGAUGGUUGCCGUAGCGACUGGCCUUCUGGCCAUGCCCCUGGGAGUCCUUCAGUUUCUGCCGAUCUACCACCCACUGCAUGACUCCUUCAAGCUCCACACAGAGGUAUGUGUUCUCAUGCUGUUGGGAGUCUACGGCCUCCUUGUGUGGAUUGCUGACAGAACACCACUAGAGGGAGCCAGGGGACCUCAGAAGUCAAGGGGUGCUAUCAGCGAGGUGCUGCUCUGCGUGCUGCUGCAUUAUGGGCUGUACAUCUACCUCGUGCUCACUGCAGUGCCAGAGAGUAUUCAAGCUACUGGGUUCCACCAGCCAGUCGGCAACUGCAGCACGACGCUACCCGUCCAGACUCCAUUCGGAAUGACUCUAUCCAAGCACAAGUAUCUCUGCCUCAACAAAUAUGAUGAAGAUGUUUUCGACUUCCACUGCGUGAAGAAACAGCCCGCUAGUGGUAAAGAGUGGUACACGAUUUGCGGCACCGCGUUUCCCAACCAUUUUGAGUACAUCUGUGUGGUGACCUCAUUCUGUGUCCUUGGGUUGGUCUGGUACUGGCAGCUACUGUUCCGCUCCGGUGCUGUCCCCAGAACUCAGGGGCCCAAGACCAAGCAGCACAAGGACUAGGCAAGCUCUGCCUCAUGCUGCUGCACCAGGGAAUCUAUGGUCAGGGUAUGAAGUCUUCAAGUUGCACUGUCCAAGAAAUAUGAUCACCAGCUGCAGAAAGGAUUUAAAAUACGACAGUAAUUAUAUGUAUAAUAUGCUGUGGGGAAAUCUAUUUAUGAAAUUUAUAGUUUUAUCAUUAUAGGUUAAAUGUGUUUUAAUUUUGUCUGAAAGAUAAGACGUUUAUUUUAAUAUGAAGGAAAAACAUUGUUUGGUAUUCACGUCACUUUGGAACAGUUCCCAGCAAAUUAUUUCAUUUAUGAGUGACAGUAAAAGGUAGCUUACAGUAUGUGUUGUACCUUUACAAAUGAGGAAAAUAUGUAUAAUCACACCAUGAUAGGAAUCUUUAAAAAAUCAUGUCAGUGGGACAAAGUUCUUUAAUUUUCAAGUCAAUUUUAAUGUUGAUCCACAAUUAUUUGUUCAUGGUUUUGUUUGUAUGAAGAAAAUUCAGUGAAGAAUUGAAAUUAAAUUCAAGAAGUGGUCUGUGAAAUUCAGUUUUCCCUGAAACUGCAAUGUCAAAUUGAUGAAAAGAUUACCUUUGAGACAUAUUUGCUUUAAAGAUUGCCCUUUAAGGUUGUGAGUUUUCAUUAUGUAAGUGAACUGAGAACUUGAGAUGAGGUAUAAAUGAGACUGGUUAUGACUUCAAAAUCAAAAUCAAGAAUGCAUACACUUGUUGUUAAGAUAGCUGAGAACAUAUCAUAAGAACACAUACCAUACAUGAUUAAAUUUACUUUUGAGCUAUUGGAUCUUUACAUGUAAAGUAAAGACCUGCUUCAGUGUGUGCUUUCCUCCCACAUCCCACACAAUGUGAUAUGUCUGAAAUACUAGUCAAAGCAGUGUUAACCAACUCACUCACUUUCUAUGCCCCUACACAUACGUGGACAGGACACUCGAUAGUCCACAAAUUAAUGUCAGACAUUUUGGUAAGAACUCUAAAACCCAGAGACAUGCUUCCUCGGGGAGCGGUCCAUUGUCAGUCACGAUUGCCUUAUUCAUAGCAAAGGACAAGUUAUGAUAAGGGCCCGUUGGACAAAGAACUUCAUUUAGAGGUGUUCAGUGUAAAUAUUCUGAGAAACCCAAAACAGUGUAAGGUAGCGACUGUUUAAAUCUGAUUUUGGAGUCACGCAAUGAGAGCGUAACCAGACAGUGUGUUUUUAUAAACCAAGGCAGCAGCACUAUAUCAACAGUAUUUUAGUUGUCAGCAGUAGUAACUAGGUUAAAAUAAUAAUAACAAGUUAGAGUGUAGUAUUUAUUGCAGUUUGUUUUGCCCACUUUUGGCUAAGAAGCAUUGAACAUUUGUUACAUAAAUUGUAUUGCCAUGACAGUUCUUAUAAUGGCAUACAGCUAGUCAGAUAAGAUAUAUAUUAUAAUGCCCUGCAGGUGUAUAAACAUGUAUACAGAACAACCAGGUUAUAAUGCCCUGCAGGUGUAUAAACAAGUAUACAGUACAACCAGGUUAUAAUGCCCUGCAGGUGUAAAAACAAGUAUACAGUACAACCAGGUUAUAAUGCCCCAGCUUGCAGUAUUGUGACUGAUGCCAGCAGUGUUGGGUUGUAGAAGACUUGUAACUGUCUAACAGUAACAACACAUGUCAAUCAGCUCUUCCCUUCUUGUCAAUCAAAUUGAAUCAUGUCAAUUGAACUUAGCUAAUGAAUGUCAGUGCCAUUUAAACUUUCCCCUAUUAAAGGAAGAUUAAAAGAGGAUAAGCUGUGAAGACAACUGAGAUCAAAACACUUAAGAGAGAGAUAAGUUUUGAAAAGAAGAAUGAUGAUGAUACAGGCUGUUAAGGGCAGUGUCUCCAAUGUUCUCUGCUCUGCGAGUUCUGCCCAGGAACUAACAAUUUAAGACAUACACCUGAAUGUAGAUUAUUUUUUAUAUCCCAAACUCAAUCAGAUGUUCUGAUUGUUUUUUUUAUAAAGUUGCAUAUCUUUGAGGCAUAUUUGCUAAAUUUCGUCUUGCAUUCCUAUUUCUCUUUAGAGACAUUGUAGUGAUCUCUUGUAUAUAUUUAUGUUGAUUUGGCUUGUCCAAAAUACUUAUGUGCAAGUUUACAUCACAAUUGAGUGUAGUUUGACUCAACUAUUUGUAGAUAUUGUGUGAAAUAUCCAGUAUUUAUGAAGACACUUUGAAGCAAUGAAUGUUCAUCUUUGUUUCUGAUCUGAAGAGGUGAAGUCAUGAUUGUUUUAAGUUAACUGGUUUAAUGUUUAUAAGAUGAUGCCAAUUCAGGAUUUUGCAGACAUUACCGAUACUUGCUGUGUCAUAAUGGUUGUGUUUUCUGACACUGUGGAAGUUCAUGUUACUUUUAGAAAAUAGCCAACAUGCUACAAGGAAUUAUGGAUUGUCUGUGAAUUAAUGCCUAUAAAUACAGGUACCUCCUUCACCAUAGUCCGUAACCGUAAGGAUUCCAGGUCAGAAUAUUGGCACCCAGCAACCUACACUUGCUGUUAGAGGCAACUAAAUGGAUCGGUGGUCAGACUCGAUGACUUGGUUGAAUGCAUGGACCGAUGCUCAUGAUGUCAAUCAUUGGAUUGUCUGUUCCAAACUUGAUUGUUUCAAGACCACUGACUGCUGAGUGCAGCAUUGAACAACAAGCAAGAACAAAAACACCAUGGUAUUUUAUUCAUAUGGAUAAUACAUAAUUCCAAUUUGCAAGUACAUUAUUCAUUUUCUACCAAUUAUUUUAAGAAAGAAAAUUAUAUGACAUGACAACCCAACAAACAAACUUGAUGACGUCAGCCUUGUUUUUUUUAUAUCGUAUAGCACUGUGAUAAUGCAAUGUCAUGCACAGGGGAUGACAUAUUGUAUUGUGUCCAGAUUAGUUCAGUUUACCAAGGAGCUUUGAGAAUGGCUAAAAUUUAAAAUUUGCCAUUAAUUAAACUAAGUCAUUCAAUCUGUAAGGGUGAAAAUUAUACCAUAUCAAGUGUGAUAUUCUUAUUACUUGAAAAGAUUUGUGAAGCAUGCAGCAAAUUUGAACAAAAAAAACCCAGUUAUUUUUCAUUAAACUUUGAAACUUUUUUGCCAUUUUCUUAAAACUUGGGCUCUUCCGUAAAGCUGUCUUUGUGUUACAACUAUUUUAAGUCUGUGCAUUGAAGGUAAGACUGUUAUCAGGGAUGAUACAUGACGUUUCUGUGAAAGCUAACAGACUCAUUUGACUCAGAACAAAGGCUGUUUAGUACUUGCAAUGCAACUGACUAUAUAAAGACAGACAUUAUUUAUAGGAGGGUUGUGAGGGGAGUUGGCGUGUAGCAAGUUGAGUGUGUUUGCAGGUUUAGAGAAGUGCUGUGUUGAAUGCAAGUGUUUUAGAGCUAUAAUUACUCAAAUGUGGUUUUUUUAAUGCAAUUUUGUGAAAGAUUGUGUGUUUUUGUGUUCAUAUUAAAUGAAAACCUUUUAAAAAUAUAUUUAUUGAGUUUCUAUGGUUUAAGAAAAAAACAAUUUUUUUAAUAAGAUCAAAUGAAAUUUCAGAUGUUACGUUCCUUGUUGUGGCAAUAUUCAAUUACAUCAGCUCUGAUUGUCACCUAUCUCAUUCUUGAGUUAGGACCCAAGAUUGAUGUGUGAAUUUUGUUUGAAAUCUCCAUAUUUUUCACAUAUGUUUAAAAUUUAAAUUUUUAAAAUGAUGCAUGAACAUUUUAAUUUGUACCACCAAUAAAUGUAGGAAGCAAAUCAAAUGAUUUUAUCUGAUAUUCAAAAUACAUCUGGGUACUAAAGUGCCACAUGUACAUGCCCGCUGGCAAUGGAGCUUGUACAAGAGUCACACUGCAUUGUGCCUGCAUGGCGCAUCUACCUGUAUGAAUAUGUCACAGACGGUGAGUCUGAACUUAGGAUAGAUGUCUCCCACCGAAGGUGCUACCGGAAUGAAUCAGUUAUUCAAACAAUAAACGAGAAAUUUCCAAAA